rnacentral:rRNA from 1 species
AACGCGAAGAACCUUACCAAGGCUUGACAUAUACCGGAAACGGCUAGAGAUAGUCGCCCCCUUGUGGUCGGUAUACAGGUGGUGCAUGGUUGUCGUCAGCUCGUGUCGUGAGAUGUUGGGUUAAGUCCCGCAACGAGCGCAACCCUUGUUCUGUGUUGCCAGCAUGCCUUUCGGGGUGAUGGGGACUCACAGGAGACUGCCGGGGUCAACUCGGAGGAAGGUGGGGACGACGUCAAAUCAUCAUGCCCCUUAUGUCUAGGGCUACACACGUGCUACAAUGGUCGGUACAAAGGGCUGCGAUGCCGCGAGGCGGAGCGAAUCCCAAAAAGCCGGCCUCAGUUCGGAUUGGGGUCUGCAACUCGACCCCAUGAAGUUGGAGUUGCUAGUAAUCGCAGAUCAGCAUGCUGCGGUGAAUACGUU